UUUAGAUCAGUGCUCAUAAUGUGUUCUGGGGAAGCUGUAAAACAGCUAAUGUGUUGGAGGGUCUCAGCGGCUUAGAAUGCCGCUAAAUUGGACAGAAAAGCAGUGAGGGGAGUAAGGGAGUUGGAAAGCAGCUGAAGGAAAAGUGGAGAAAGGAGGAGAAAGAAUGGCAGGGGGGAAGAGGAGAAAAGAAGAGAUGAGUGUUUCUUUUUUUAAAAUCCUCUGCUAAGAGAGCCACAAAAAGAGAGAAUUACACAGGAAGAAAAAUUGCCAUUGUCGCAGACAGAGACAGUGGUAAAUGGCGCGUCGUUUUGCCGUAAUUUACAAAUCGUGGAGUGGAAACAAAAUUAGAUUAAGUGGGUCCGUUGAAAUGGACCUGCUAAACAUCACUAUUAACUAGAAAGUGCAUUUUCUGAAGAAACUGCAGUGUGAAUGCUUGAAUCUGAAUGUAUGCACUGAAAUGAAUUAAUUGCUGAAUUUUGAGUUAAAAAUAUUGAAUGAGAUUAAAAAAAACAAAAAAAAAAAACGAAUUUAACCUGAAAACAAAGGUGCUGAACUGCUAAAAGCUGAAGGUUACACAGAAGAAGAAGUUGGAAAAAAGCUGAAAAUGUUUUAAUUGUAAAUUAGAAAAACCUAAGAAAUGAGAAGAGAACAUUUAGAGUCAGAAAACAUCUGAAUGAAUAUUAAAAGGUCAUAUUCUUUGAAUCACUGAAUGACUCAAAUGUGAUCCCUCCACUUGGACCCACACAGUUUAAAAAGUUUACAUCUCUGAGCUUUGAAAGACAAGAUGUUGGAAAAAGAACAACGAUGGCGACGUUUUGAGGGUAAAAUGAUGGCUGUAACACUGUGGAGACAGCAGCAGUUGAAAGAGAAGUGUUUAAGAUGAAUCUUGGCAGAGUGAGAGAGAGAGCUCGUUAAGCAGGCAGGUGUGAGCCUGGUUGCUAUAGUGACCGCACCCAAUGGCUCCAUACACACGUACACAGACAUGCACCUCACUUUUGCUGCUUAAAAUGAACAGAAAAGUCAGGCCGAAACAAAUCGUUCCCAUAUGAAAAGUACAAGUCGUAUUGACGAAAUUCUUUCACCGUGAGCGACAGCAGCUUCUAGUCUACUGAAUUCUCAGUUUUCAUGCCUGUGGAGUUUAUUAUAUGGACGUGGUGACAGUGUAAAAACACCAUGCUCUUCUGAUUUUCAAACCAACCUUCUGAGCCGUUUUAACAUUAGAGUCUAUGGAAGAGUUGGAGGGAGGAGGCUGUGCAUUGGUGACAUUUAUGAAAGAACCAUAACACCUAGGACAAUAGUAAACACAUUGGAUGAAAGAGGACAGCCAUGGCUACGUUUUGAGGGUAAAAUCAUACCUGUAGAGCAAACGCUGUGGACACAGCAGCAGUUUUAAAAAAGAUUUUAAGAUUAAUUUUUUUGCUCCUCUCACUCUAGCAGUUGAGCUGCCUCACUCUAGCCCCAACAUUCCGUCCC
ensembl:lncRNA